GUUGGGAAUCUUGGACAAUGGGGGAAACCCUGAUCCAGCCAUGCCGCGUGAGUGAUGAAGGCCUUCGGGUUGUAAAACUCUUUCGACGGGGACGAUAAUGACGGUACCCGUAGAAGAAGCUCCGGCUAACUUCGUGCCAGCAGCCGCGGUAAUACGAAGGGGGCUAGCGUUGUUCGGAAUUACUGGGCGUAAAGCGCGCGCAGGCGGCUAUCCAAGUCAGUGGUGAAAGCCCGGAGCUCAACUCCGGAACUGCCAUUGAAACUGUUUAGCUUGAGGACGAGAGAGGUGAGUGGAAUUCCCAGUGUAGAGGUGAAAUUCGUAGAUAUUGGGAAGAACACCAGUGGCGAAGGCGGCUCACUGGCUCGUAUCUGACGCUCAGGCGCGAUAGCGUGGGGAUCAAACAGGAUUAGAUACCCGAGUAGUCC
rnacentral:rRNA from 1 species